ACAAUGGGCGCAAGCCUGAUGCAGCCAUGCCGCGUGUAUGAAGAAGGCCUUCGGGUUGUAAAGUACUUUCAGCAGUGAGGAAGGUGGAUAUGUUAAUAGCAUAUUCAUUUGACGUUUAGCUGCAGAAGAAGCACCGGCUAACUCCGUGCCAGCAGCCGCGGUAAUACGGAGGGUGCGAGCGUUAAUCGGAAUUACUGGGCGUAAAGCGCAUGCAGGUGGUUUGUUAAGUCAGAUGUGAAAGCCCGGGGCUCAACCUCGGAAUUGCAUUUGAAACUGGCAAACUAGAGUACUGUAGAGGGGGUAGAAUUUCAGGUGUAGCGGUGAAAUGCGUAGAGAUCUGAAGGAAUACCGGUGGCGAAGGCGGCCCCCUGGACAGAUACUGACACUCAGAUGCGAAAGCGUGGGGAGCAAACAGGAUUAGAUACCCUGGUAG
rnacentral:rRNA from 1 species